GAUGAACGCUGGCGGCGUGCCUAAUACAUGCAAGUCGAGCGAACAGACGAGGAGCUUGCUCCUCUGACGUUAUCGGCGGACGGGAGAGUAACACGUGGAUAACCUACCUAUAAGACUGGGAUAACUUCGGGAAACCGGAUCUAAUACCGGAUAAUAUAUUGAACCGCAUGGUUCACUAGUUAAAGUCGGUUUUUCUGUCACUUAUAGAUGGAUCCGCGUCUCAUGAGCUAGUUGGUAAGGUAACGGCUUACCAAGGCAACGAUGGAUAGCCGACCUGAGAGGGUGGAUGGACACACUGGAAGUGAGACAGAGUACAGACUCCGACAGUAGGAAGCAGUCGAGAAUCUUCCGCAAUGCGCGAGAGCCUGACGGAGCAACGCCGCGUGAGUGCUGAAGGUCUUCGGACCGGAAAACGCUGUAAUUCGGGAAGUACAAAUGUGUAAGUAACUAUGAACGUAAUGACGGUACCUAAUCAGAAAGCCACGGCUAACUACGUG
rnacentral:rRNA from 1 species